UGAAGUGAUGCUAGGGUUUGGAGAUGGGAUUGUCCCAACAUGUCACCACCAUUGUUCAUGGGUUUAUGUGGGUGCUGGAGAAGAGUAGAAGAAGAAGACAUCGAGGAUCCGAAUAGA
rnacentral:sRNA from 1 species